AGGCGAACGGCUGAGUAACACGUGGGCAACCUGCCCUUUGCACUGGGAUAGCCUCGGGAAACCGAGGUUAAUACCGGAUACUCCAUAUUUGUCGCAUGGCGAAUAUGGAAAGCUCCGGCGGCAAAGGAUGGGCCCGCGGCCUGUUAGCUAGUUGGUGGGGUAGUGGCCUACCAAGGCAAUGAUGGGUAGCCGGGUUGAGAGACCGACCGGCCAGAUUGGGACUGAGACACGGCCCAGACUCCUAUGGGAGGCAGCAGAU
rnacentral:rRNA from 1 species